rnacentral:rRNA from 1 species
GACGAACGCUGGCGGCGUGCUUAACACAUGCAAGUCGAACGGAAAGGCCCUGCUUUUGUGGGGUGCUCGAGUGGCGAACGGGUGAGUAACACGUGAGUAACCUGCCCUUGACUUUGGGAUAACUUCAGGAAACUGGGGCUAAUACCGGAUAGGAGCUCCUGCUGCAUGGUGGGGGUUGGAAAGUUUCGGCGGUUGGGGAUGGACUCGCGGCUUAUCAGCUUGUUGGUGGGGUAGUGGCUUACCAAGGCUUUGACGGGUAGCCGGCCUGAGAGGGUGACCGGCCACAUUGGGACUGAGAUACGGCCCAGACUCCUACAGGAGGCAGCAGUGGGGAAUAUUGCACAAUGGGCGGAAGCCUGAUGCAGCAACGCCGCGUGCGGGAUGACGGCCUUCGGGUUGUAAACCGCUUUCACCUGUGACGAAGCGUGAGUGACGGUAAUGGGUAAAGAAGCACCGGCUAACUACGUG